rnacentral:rRNA from 1 species
AUGUCGUCCAACUCCUCCUCGGCUGCUCCGCCGCCGCCCUCCAACAGCAGCCCUCCUCCAUCGGCCGCCCCGCCGCCGUCGCCGUCCACCUCCAAUUCGUCCUCGCCGGCGCCAUCCAGCUCCAACGACCCCUCGCCUCCGCCUGCGCAGCCCAAGUCCCAUGCCGCUCCGACGUCGCCGGCAAGGGUUCCGUCUCCACCAGCCCAAUCCUCCAGAGGGUCCGGUGACUCGAGCAGGUCGUCACAGGCUUCUGCGCACCGUGUCAGCCCCAACACCACGGCCGAGAUCAUUUUCGCCGCCGCCGGGGCGGCGAUGCUCCUCGCGCUCCUCAUCGCGGCCUGCGUCUGCUGCUCGAGGAGGACGGCGCCGAGGCGGAGGCGGAAGCCUCACAAUCCCAUGCAUUUCUACGCCGAUACCUCCGGCAACAAAGCCAGCAGCACGUACUACACCGGCGGGCCGCAGCCGCAGUGGCAGAGCGGCACCGGCGCUGGGCCGUCGACGAGCACGUCCGGCCCACCCGGGGCAGCCUGGCCCUUGCCGCCCGACAUGAACUCGGGCGUCUACUCCAGCCCGCGCGACCAGCCGACUUCACCGCCUGCACCGCACGAGACGCUGGGGCUCGGCAGGGGCACGUUCACCUACGAGGAGCUCGCGGCGGCGACGGGGGGCUUCUCGCAGGCGAACCUGCUCGGGCAGGGCGGGUUCGGGUACGUGCACAAGGGGGUGCUCCCCAGCGGCAGGGCGGUGGCCGUGAAGCAGCUCAAGUCCGGGAGCGGUCAGGGGGAGCGCGAGUUCCAGGCCGAGGUGGACAUCAUCGGCCGGGUGCACCACCGCCACCUCGUGUCCCUCGUUGGCCACUGCAUCGCCGGCGCCAGCCGCAUGCUCGUCUACGAGUUCGUCCCCAACAAGACGCUCGAGUUCCACCUCCAUGGGGAAGGGUUGCCGGCGAUGGCAUGGCCGACGAGGCUGCGCAUCGCGCUCGGGGCGGCGAAGGGGCUCGCCUACCUGCACGAAGACUGCCAUCCACGGAUCAUCCACCGCGACAUCAAGUCGGCCAACAUCCUCCUGGACAACAACUUCGAAGCCAUGGUGGCGGACUUCGGGCUGGCCAAGCUGACGUACGACGGCAUCACGCACGUCUCGACGCGGGUCAUGGGCACGUUCGGGUACCUGGCGCCGGAGUACGCGUCGAGCGGGAAGCUGACGGAGAAGUCGGACGUCUCACGGCGUGAUGCUGGUCGAGCUCCUGACGGGGCGGCGGCCCAUCGACGCCACCGCGCACCUGGUCCUGGAGGACGGCCUCGUCGAAUGGGCGAGGCCGGCCCUGUCGCGCGCGCUCGCCGACGGCGACUACGGCGCCGUGGCCGACCCGAGGCUGCAGGGCAGCUACGACCCGGUGGAGAUGGCGCGCGUGGUCGCCAGCGCCGCCGCCUGCGUCCGCCACUCGGCCAAGAAGCGCCCGAAGAUGAGCCAGAUCGUGAGGGCGCUGGAGGGCGACAUGUCGCUGGAGGACCUGAACGACGGGGUGCGGCCGGGGCAGAGCAGGCUGUUCGGGGAGGAGGCGGGGUCGUACAGCUCCGACAUGAACCGGACCAAAGAGGUGGCCGUGGCGAGCCCCGAGUACAGCGGCAGGUUCGGACGGCCCUCGCCGGUCAGCAGCGACAGGCCUAA